UACGUAGGGUGCGAGCGUUAAUCGGAAUUACUGGGCGUAAAGCGUGCGCAGGCGGUUUUGUAAGACAGGUGUGAAAUCCCCGGGCUUAACCUGGGAACUGCAUUUGUGACUGCAAGGCUAGAGUACGGCAGAGGGGGGUAGAAUUCCACGUGUAGCAGUGAAAUGCGUAGAUAUGUGGAGGAAUACCGAUGGCGAAGGCAGCCCCCUGGGUCGAUACUGACGCUCAUGCACGAAAGCGUGGGGAG
rnacentral:rRNA from 1 species